GUGUUGUUUUACAGGGUCAGUCAUAGUAGUAUGAUAGGUGUUGUUUUACAGGGUCAGCCAUAGUAGUAUGAUAGGUGUUGUUUUACAGGGUCAGCCAUAGUAGUAUGAUAGGUGUUGUUGUACAGGGUCAGCCAUAGUAGUAUGAUAGGUGCAGUGUAAUGUGUUGUUUUACAGGGUCAGCCAUAGUAGUAUGAUAGGUGCAGUGUAAUGUGUUGUUUUACAGGGUCAGCCAUAGUAGUACGAUAGGUGCAGUGUAAUGUGUUGUUUUACAGGGUCAGCCAUAGUAGUAUGAUAGGUGCAGUGUAAUGUGUUGUUUUACAGGGUCAGCCGUAGUAGUAUGAUAAGUGUUGUUUUACAGGGUCAGCCACAGUAAUAUGAUAGGUGUUGUUGUACAGGGUCAGCCAUAGUAGUAUGUUAGGUGUUGUUUUACAGGGUCAGCCAUAGUAAUAUGAUAGGUGUUGUUUUACAGGGUCAGUCAUAGUAGUAUGAUAGGUGUUGUUUUACAG
rnacentral:lncRNA from 1 species